rnacentral:rRNA from 1 species
AUGGACCUUGAUGUUGCACCUUCAAGCAGCACCUCGCCGGCGCCCCUCAUCGGGCGGGUUGCCCUGCCGGCCUUCUCCGACCGUCCUCAUCGGCUUCGUCCAGCCGCAGUUGUCAUCCAUAAUCAGUCCCUGAGCCAUCAGCUACAAGUUACAACCAACGAGCUUCCCGAUUCCCAUCAUACAGCCCCUCAACGCCUUCCCCCUUGGCCCGUCAUGGAGGAAUACAAUCUGGGCGGCGCGCCGUGCAUUGGGAGAGGAAGAAGAGGGGUUGUUUUCAACUGGGCUAUGCUUGCAUCUAUUGUACUCUUUUAUUUACUCAUGUAUCUCAUGUUCUGUCAAUCAACAUCAUCAGGGCCUUCGCAAUUUGUGGGCUUUCAUAUCAAUGUGCAAGAUGAGCUCUUCUAUUAUUGCCGUCAAGUAAGAGAAGUUUUGUCUAUACUUCCGGGAGGAGUGUUCUAUUGA